rnacentral:lncRNA from 1 species
GCUCCUUAACUCAUAAAAUUUGAAUCAAAUACAACUGGAUUAAUACCCAAAUCUUAGACACUUAGUAAUAAAAAUUCAAAAAAUCGAAAUUGAGUUUAAAUUCAAGACCACACCCAUCUCAUUCUCCUUCUUCCACUUAUUCUUCUGCUUUUUCUUCUUCAUCCUCUCCCUCUUAUUCUUGUUCUUCUUCAUAGCCUUCCUUUUCGGAGUUUUGCUGAUGACCAUGUAACAAUUCUUUCACAAUUUUUCCAGCUACCUUUUUCACCAAAUCCCUCUUCUUCUUCUUCUUAUCAUCAUGACUUUCUUUUUUCUUAUCGACAUUACUUUCAUCAUUAAUCUCAUGAGUUUCUUCUGGCUUAUUUUGAGCUGCACGUGGAUCAUCUCCGUGUUUGCGGUGUAUAUAUAACUUCUCUUCCAUCUUGUGCAACAUUCUUGACAUAAUGCCAGUCUACAUGAUAAACAAUUAAUGCAAUCUAGACGAUAGAAGUGAAUACACAUGGUUGGAUAGAACUAAGUGUUAGUUAUUUCUAUUUUGUAGACUCACAUAUUAAUAUAUUAUACAUAGAUAUGAUAUAUUUCAAGAAGUCCAAUUUAUGAUCUAAUAAAGUAUUAAUAUUUGAGCCUAAAAGUAAAUAUUUAUUAGUAUGAAUUUAAUUGAAAUUAUAAGAAACUCAUAUUGAUCUUUUCUUAAGUCUGAUGGAGACUUAUUGAACAGUUAUCUUUUCAACCUGAAAAGGUAUGCAGGUUAUUAAGGGAAAACAAACAAAUAUAAGGAUAAGAGGUGCUGAUAGGAUUAAAGAACCUUUAAAGUUGAUACAUACAGGUGCGGUCCGUACCCUACGACUUCAUGAAAUGGUCAAUAAUAUUUUAUUAACUUUAUAGAUGACUACUUCCGUUACGGAUAUCUCUAUUAAAUUCGUGAGAGGUCACAAUCUUUGAAUGUUUUAAAAAAUUUUUAAAGCAGAAGUUGAAGCUCAAUUAGGCAAGAAAAUUAAGGCUGUCAAAUCUGACUGUGGAGGAGAAUGCUACGGUAUAUACGAUAGAUUAGGUGGACAACAUCCAAGACCUUUUGUAAAGUAUUUGAUAGAGUGUGGGAUUGUACCUCAACACACUAUGCCAGGAACUUCAAGUCAAAAUAGUGUAGCUGAGAGAUGAAAUCGAACUUUUAAGGAUAUGGUAAAAAGUAUGAUUAGUCAUUCUUCUUUACCUGAAUUGCUUUGAGGAGAAGCAUUAAAAACUGUCGUUUAUAUACUAAACAAAAUUUCAAGUAAAGCAAUAGAUAAGACUCCAUACGAAUUGUGGACCGAUAAGAAGCCCAAUAUUAAACACUUGCAUGUCUGGAUACAUGCAUGUUUACAUACACAUAAAACCAGAGGAUAACAUAUUACAAAUUUCAAAUCACCGGUUGAGAUGUAUCUUAAGAACAUAUAUUCUUAGAUGAAUAAACCUGAAUACAAAUAUAAAGGCACACAACAACUGGGUUGAUGUCAUGUUCUAUACCCUUUUAAAUAGUGCAAGUUGGGACGUGAAAAUUGACUCUUCAAUAUUGGUAAGGGGUUAGCAUUCCUGAGCCCUGUGGUUCUAGCACGAUUUACUUUAUGAUUAAAUCAAUUUUUGGAUAAGUUAGGUUUGAUUAAUUAUUAAAUGUAUGUAAAGAAUAGGCAGAAAAAGGCCUUUUAAUUAUGAGAUUUGAUCAAGGAACGUAACCACACACGUGACCAGACCUGAUAUAUUAAUUGAUUGCUUGCAAUUCACAACACUUCUAGCUUAUUCACAAUAGACUAUUUUUAAAACAAUUAGGUUUUGAACUUAUUUAUACAUAACUUUGAUCUAUGCUUUAAACAAAUUUAAUAACGAAAGGCUGCGAGAUUAUUCAGCAUGCAAAAUAAAAAACAUAAUUUAUAUUAUAGAGCCAAAAACUAAUAAGCACUUUGAGACACAUGAGAUUUAAGUCACUUGUAACAGUGUAAUCAGAUUUUAUAUAAACAUGGAAUUGAAUAAUACGAAGAAGAUUGAGGGUUACCUUUUGUUAAAAUUGAUUUGCAAAGGAAAAACCUCUAGAAUCCACUAAUUUCAAAGUUAACAAGAGCUUAACUUUCAGUAGCGACAAACUUAAAACCGUGCGGGAGUUUAGUUGAUGUCUUCUUUUUUUUUCUCUGGUUCGUGUCUCUCUGUUUGUUUUGG